AGGAAACUCCCCCUCCCUGCCCAAGACUACACCCUCAACUCUCUCACCCUUGGGCUGUCCAGUCAGACAGCUCUGGGGAAGACACUGGCGUGGGAUCAUCAAGAAGACGGCUUGGGAAACCCAAUAGGGAAAAGAGUUUCUGAGCCAUGGACCAGCAGAGUAUCUGGUGCUGUUAGAGCCUGGAGAAGGAGGCAGGAGAUGGGAGCCUGUAGCCUCUCAGGUAUGAGAAGAUGUGUAUGUUCUUCCUGGAUCAUGCUGGGAAGUGGGACUGGAGCUGCUCUGCCAUUAUCCCCAGAUCCUUCCCUCCUGAGUCUGAGUCACUGUUCCAGCCACCUGCUCCUUCCAGUCACCUGGGAGUGCUAAAAUCAUAGAGUCGAGGAUGACACCCUCACUCCCCUCACUUAAGGCAUGGCUGUGUCUACAGAGCAGAAUGAGGUAGGAAGAGAAAGUAAUUUUGAGGGCUGAGGGGGAAGAGGGACUUGGAAAGAUGGGCCAUCUGAAAACAAAAACUGCCUUGUAUUCUAUCAUUGGCUCUGUCCUGGGGAGAAGAAGGGGAAGAGAGGCUGAUGGGUAGGGUUCGUUUUUAGCAACUGUUUUAAAAUUGG
rnacentral:lncRNA from 1 species